UUUCCGUAGGUGAACCUGCGGAAGGAUCAUUAUCGAGUUUUGACUGGGUUGUAGCGGGCCUUCCGAGGCAUGUGCACGCCCUGCUCAUCCACUCUACACCUGUGCGCUUACUGUGGGUAUCAGAUCGUGAAGCGUGCUCUUUUACCGGAGCUUGUGAAGCGUGUCUGUGCCUGCGUUUAUCACAAACACUAUAAAGUAUCAGAAUGUGUAUUACGAUGUACGCAUCUAUAUACAACUUUCAGCAACGGAUCUCUUGGCUCUC
rnacentral:misc_RNA from 1 species